AUGUCGAGGAAGACGCCCAGGAGCGGGGCCGGGUGGAGGUCGCGGAAGCGGCGGCGGAACGCGGGGGACGAGCGGACGGCGUGGAGGAAAGCGGGGCAGGUUAGCGCGGCGCGGACGAGGGUCGGGAGGGAGGGCAGGCGGAGCAACACCUCGCGCAGGAGGUCGUCGCCGAGGGCGCAUAUGGUGGUCGGAGUGGAUUUCUUCCGCGACGGCGGCAGCUCACUGGAGGCCAUGGGGAUCGGCGGCUCGGGAGGCCACGGACAAUGGGGAAUCAGGGGCUGCUCGCUCGUUCCAGAGUUAAUGGGCGCAAAGUCAUCUCCAGGAGCUGGUCUUGCCACCAUUGAGCAAGUGACACCACAUCUAGCUCAAAUCUUUUUUUUACCGAUGGCCAGAGGUACCGGUGAAGCAUCCACCCUUGGUCUAGUUUAUGAUUUGUGCAGUUUGAUGGCCCACGUCAUUGUAUCUUAG
rnacentral:rRNA from 1 species